UGCAGUGAUUAUAUCUGUGAACGCUUUCCUGAAGCCAGAAGAAUUACUCAUGAGAUUGUGGUGAUAAUUGCAAUCUCAUGCGAGUUUUUGCAGGGUGGAUCAAAGGUCAAGACUAUUGGAAUAAUUAUUUUAAUAUGAAAUAUUUGUUAUGUUGGAGAAGAUAAUAAUUAUGUAUUUAUUAAGUGCCGCUUGUGGCACAUAUGUUAUUAUUCUGGAUGUAAUUAUUAUAUCAGAACAAAAUGUUAUUAUUUUUAUAUA